rnacentral:rRNA from 1 species
ACUUAAGCAUAUCAAUAAGUGGAGGAAAAGAAACCAACAGGGAUUGCCUUAGUAACGGCGAGUGAAGCGGCAAAAGCUCAAAUUUGAAAUCUAGUACCUUCGGUGCUCGAGUUGUAAUUUGAAGAAAGUUUCCUUGGUUAGUCCUUAGCCUAUGUUCCUUGGAAUAGGACAUCAUAGAGGGUGAGAAUCCCGUAUGGCUUUGGAUCCUAUCCUUUGUAGGAAGCUUUCGAAGAGUCGAGUUGUUUGGGAAUGCAGCUCUAAGUGGGUGGUAAAUUCCAUCUAAAGCUAAAUAUUGGCGAGAGACCGAUAGCGAACAAGUACAGUGAUGGAAAGAUGAAAAGAACUCUGAAGAGAGAGUGAAAAAGUACGUGAAAUUGCUGAAAGGGAAGGGCUUUAGGUCAGACUUGGCGUUUAAUGAUUAUCUUCCCUUCUUGGGUUGUGCACUCGUUUUUCGUCGGGCCAAUAUCAGUUCUUGCGAUAGAGCACCUCUUGGAAUGUGACUUCCCUUCGGGGUUGUGUUAUAGCCUUGAGACGAUCUAUUUGCUGGGGACUGAGGACUGCGCUUUUGCUAGGAUAUUGGCGUAAUGACCUUAAGCCGCCCGUCUUG